rnacentral:lncRNA from 1 species
GUUCCGGGAAAUGGUGCCUCUCGCCGCUUGCUGGAUGUUGAGCUUCCUAAGCCCCAACUGCCUUCUCUCGUUCUCCCUAAAGUUGAGCGUCCCCCUCUCCCCAAACUAGACUUCCCACAACUUCCUAAACCUGAACUACCUAAGCCCAAUAUUUCAGAAAUCCCUAAACCUCAAGUUCCGCAACUCCCUAAACCUGAAAUCCCACAAGUGCCCAAGCCUGAAUUUCCGCAAGUGCCUGAGCCUGAGAUCCCACAAUUGCCUAAGCCCGAGAUCCCUCAAGUUCCAAAGCCUGAAGUUCCACAACUCGCUAAACCCGAGAUCCCACAGUUGCCUAAGUCUGAAGUUCCGCAACUCGGUAAACCCGAGAUCCCGCAAUUGCCUAAGCCAGAAGUUCUAGAGCUCCCUCAACCUGAGCUCCCAGUACCUCCUCAAAAUGUCAAACCCACGAAAUUGCCUACUCCUUCUGCAAAAUUUGAAGUGCCAGAGCUUCCAAAACCUGAUAUUCCAUCUCUCCCUAAACCUGAACUUCCGGAGUUUCCAAAGGUUGAAAUUCCACAAUUUCCCAAGCCCGAAUUUCCGGAGCUUCCAAAACCCGAAAUGCCCCAAAUUCCAGAGUUUCCAAAACCUGAGCUGCCAUCUUUUCCAAAACCCGAAAUGCCCCAUAUUCCAGAACUUCCAAAACUUCCAUUCCCAACCCUUCCCAAAGAGACUCCACUGCCUUAUGUUCCCCAUCCGACCACCACUUCUCCUUAAAUUUUCAACACUAUUACCUAAUCGUGUGUAUUUUAUUUAAAAUUAUAUCUACCCGAUGAAGGUGGCUCCAUCCUCCAUAUGUGUUCGCGUUUGGUUUGAUUAAUUAGUGUUAUGCUUUAUUUCGGAUAUCAUGUACUUUUUCUGAUUUUUUUACCCUUACACAUGUUUACAUUUUCAUAUGUGAUGGUCUUACUAUUACUUCAUCAUCACAUCAUGUAUUCAUGUUCCGUUGAUUUAUAUAUAUCGAGAUACUCAUUACUUUGGUUUGAUAUAUCAUCCAUUCUAAUUCUUUCAAUGGUUCAAAGUACCAACGACGAGG